GUUGAGCCAGGGCCAAGGCCUGCAGCCACUUGAGUCUCAUUCACCUCAGCUGCGGCUCCAGGAACUAUGCGUCAGCAGCAUUAAGUGCAGGCUGAAGGCCCCCAUCUGAGAAGACAGUGCACUCUCCCUGAGUUCACCUCUCAUCAGGCUUGGGUUUUCAUGAAAUCAGUCCUCCGAGAUGCCUGUUCACUCAUCCCUGUCUGGGAAGGCAAAAAUCCUAAUGGCCAUGUCGACAUACCCAGCUGUGACAAGAUGAAGGACCACGAUUUGGGACUCUUCAGGGACAGACUUGGCCACCUGGUGAUGUGCCACCUUCAGCAGCUCUGUCUUCACACGUCCAGCCUGCGCCUGCUUCAUGUAGUACACAAGACUGCUCUGGUACACCACGACCAUGACCUUCACAUGAGGCCAGUCUCCCCGCCCCUCACCUGGGCCAUAGAAAAAGGUAAGAGCCUGAGAAGCAGCUCCUGGCCUCUCCUCCCACCUCGGAGCCUUCCGAGACCCAUCACAGUGCCAGCUCCACUCUGCCCAGUUUGAGGAGGGAAUUGGCAUCUAGACUGAUAGUUUCUUCAUUUCUAUGGGCUUCUGGGAACAGCCACUGAAACUGCCUCCUUGUUACCGAAAAAAAACAGUUGCUUUGGAUUUCCCCUUUCAGAUUCCUCUGCCCAUCUCCUGCCAGGUGCCCCUCAUCUCCAGCUGACUGAUUUGUCAUCUGGGUUCUUUCUCCCUGCCUGCCUGUUUGCCUGGCUUUGACAGCGCCCUCUCUAAGACGUUACCUUCCUCCAUAUUCACUAACUGCUUCUAGAACAGCAUUUGUCCCUGCAGCAGACUCAGGCUUCCAGGUUACUGUGGCCGAGCCUCAGAGUCUUGGAACAAAAUUGCUUUAAACUGAGUGCUUUUGAUGGAGAAAACAAUUUAAUUCAAAAUUAAUCCAAGAACACCAUAGCCUCCCCCUAUCUGAUUGCUCUCCUUUCCUUCGCACUUCGCCCCACCCUCCCCUGUAGCACUGGCUUAGUCGGCAGUACAACGUGGAGACGUCAAUCUCUCACCCCCCUCUGUCUCGCAGUGGGAGGGCUCCCUGCUUCUUGGCCCACCUCAACUCUUGCUAAAUAUAUCUUUGGCAAUUUAAAUAUUUUUAUAACAGUUUGUGAAGGGAAAAGAACGUGAGGCUUGGUUGUUUCUGAUCACUCAAGGACCUCUCAGCAGUGCUGACGGUCCUCCUCUGCAGGUGCCAGCACUGGGUGGUACUCACACUCCCUGUGUUCCGUCUGCCACCCUGUGUACCACAUGUCACUGUUUUUUUUUCUUUCUUUCAAGCGAUUCUCCUGCCUCAGCCUCCCAAGUAGCUGGGAUUACAGGUGCCCACCACCACGCCCGGCUAAUUUUUGUAUUUUUAGUAGAGACGGGGUUUCACAAUGUUGGUCAGGCUGGUCUUGAACUCCUGACCUCGUGAUCCACUUGCCUUGGCCGCGUCACUAUCCUUAAGAAAUUGUUGACAAUAAUUAUUCAUCAGUGUGUCUUUCUGAAAAUAAAAUGAGAAAAGUGCCUAGUUUCUAAGAUGUACAAGUUGCAUUUUUGUCACCUGGUUAUCUAGAUGACACUAAUGCAUGGCCAAAAGCAUUCCAAGUGUUUCUCUCUGUAGCCAGCCUGGCCCGAGCCCCCCACAAUGACCAUCGAAGCCCCACGUGGUCCUGGAAAGCAGCGUGUUCAUGCUGUGGAAUGUAAAGAGCUGUUUCCCAUCACCGGGGCCAGCAGUUCACAUGUGAGGCCACGCCUGGCACCAGAUGCUGUUGUAAGAACUUCGUGUAUAUUCAUUCAUUUAAUCCUCACAAUUGCAUGAAACCGUUACGUCCAUCCUGUUUUGUAUUGUUAUGAGGUAGUCAGUUAAGAUGGAGCCAAAAGAGGCAGAGGAGAGGCUCGGGAUAACAAAUGUACUCACUAUUCCUAGAGACAGGAGGCAGGGCAGGCCACACAAGGCCAUGUGGGCGAGGCACCUGAGUGUUCAGGAGGCAGAAGACAGGAGUCGGCGGGGAGUAGGGGGAAGCAUGAAGCCAGGGCCUUUCUUUGGGUGUCUGAGGGAAAGGCAAGGCAGGGUGGGUGAAUUGUUUAGACUGGCUAGUUUGUGUCAUUUCAGUAAGCUCUAAGCUAUAAGGAUGGGGGUGUCCCUAGGUGCCUGGUGCUCGGCCCUGGGGUGAUGAAGGCAGAGGAAUGUUGCUUCUGGUGUGUGUGGGCCUGAGAGAGGAGGCCUGGCUCUGGCUGGUUACUACAUAUCAAAGACGUGCCCAGCUCAGUCUUUGCUGUCUCUUAAGAACUGGCCAGCCCCGGCUGGGCGCAGUGGCCAUGCCUGUAAUCCCAGCACUUUGGGAGGCGGAGACGGGCGGAUCACGAGGUCAGGAGAUUGAGACCAUCCUGACUAACACGGUGAAACCCCGUCUCUACUAA
rnacentral:lncRNA from 1 species